AUGAACGCUAGCGACAGGCCUAACACAUGCAAGUCGAGGGGCAGCACAAGGAGCAAUCUGAGGUGGCGACCGGCGCACGGGUGAGUAACACGUAUGCAACCUGCCUGUAAGCGGGGAAUAACCCGUUGGAAGACGGACUAAUACCGCAUAAUACUAAAUUACUGCAUGGUAAUUUAUUUAAACAUUUAUGGCUUACAGAUGGGCAUGCGCAUGAUUAGCUAGUUGGAGAGGUAACGGCUCCCCAAGGCAACGAUCAUUAGGGGUUCUGAGAGGAAGGUCCCCCACACUGGUACUGAGACACGGACCAGACUCCUACGGGAGGCAGCAGUGAGGAAUAUUGGUCAAUGGACGAGAGUCUGAACCAGCCAAGUCGCGUGCGGGAAGAAUGUCCUAUGGAUUGUAAACUGCUUUUGCAGGGGAAUAAAGUGCAUCACGUGCGAUGUUUUGUAUGUACUCUGCGAAUAAGGAUCGGCUAACUCCGUGCCAGCAGCUGC
rnacentral:rRNA from 1 species